ACAUGCCUACAACAUAGUGUUAAUUCAUUUUAUCCCAUUAGAACUCCGCACUUAAGGACGCUCAGGCUAGAGUAGUACUGGGAUGGGUGAUUUCCCGGGAAGUCCUAGUAUUUUACAUGCC
rnacentral:rRNA from 1 species